UCAAGAAAUAGUUUAUAUAAAAUUUUAAUUUUGGAGAUUAAAGAUGGGGGUUUCUCUUUUCUUGAU
rnacentral:tRNA from 1 species